rnacentral:rRNA from 1 species
CAAAGAAGGUAAUAAUCCUGUAGUCGAAAAUGUUGUCUCUCUUGAGUGGAUCCUGAGUACGACGGAGCACGUGAAAUUCCGUCGGAAUCUGGGAGGACCAUCUCCUAAGGCUAAAUACUCUCUAGUGACCGAUAGUGAACCAGUACCGUGAGGGAAAGGUGAAAAGCACCCCGGAAGGGGAGUGAAAUAGAACCUGAAACCGUGUGCUUACAAGUAGUCAGAGCCCGUUAAUGGGUGAUGGCGUGCCUUUUGUAGAAUGAACCGGCGAGUUACGAUUUGAUGCAAGGUUAAGCAGUAAAUGUGGAGCCGUAGCGAAAGCGAGUCUGAAUAGGGCGUUUAGUAUUUGGUCGUAGACCCGAAACCAGGUGAUCUACCCUUGGUCAGGUUGAAGUUCAGGUAACACUGAAUGGAGGACCGAACCGACUUACGUUGAAAAGUGAGCGGAUGAACUGAGGGUAGCGGAGAAAUUCCAAUCGAACCUGGAGAUAGCUGGUUCUCUCCGAAAUAGCUUUAGGGCUAGCCUCAAGUGAUGAUUAUUGGAGGUAG